rnacentral:rRNA from 1 species
UGGGGAGUGACGUCAAGUCCUCAUGGCCUUUAUGACCAGGGCUACACACGUACUACAAUGGCCGAUACAAAGGGCGAGCGACACUGCGAGGUAGAAGACCAAAUCCCGUAAAAUACGGUCUCAGUCCGGAUUGGAGUCUGCAACUCGACUCCAUGAAGUUGGAAUCGCUAGUAAUCGUGGAUCAGCAUGCCACGGUGAAUACGUUCCCGGGCCUU